UCCCUGGCAGUCCAGUGGUUAAGACUCUGCACUUCCACUGCAGGGGCCAAGGGUUCUAUUCCUGGUUAGGGAA
rnacentral:tRNA from 1 species